AAAUCGCCUUGAACCUGCAGUUUCCCCGCGGCUAGACGGAACGACCCCGUGAACCUUUACUACAGCUUGGCACUGAACAUUGACCCUACAUGUGUAGGAUAGGUGGGAGCCUUUGAAGCAAGUACGCCAGUAUUUGUGGAGGCAAUCUUGAAAUACCACCCUUGUAUGCUUGAUGUUCUAACGUUGGCCCCUUAUCGGGGUUACGGACAGUGCCUGGUGGGUAGUUUGACUGGGGCGGUCUCCUCCCAAAGAGUAACGGAGGAGCACGAAGGUGGGCUAAACACGGUUGGACAUCGUGUGGUUAGUGCAAUGGCAUAAGCCCGCUUAACUGCGAGAAUGACGGUUCGAGCAGGUACGAAAGUAGGUCAUAGUGAUCCGGUGGUUCUGUAUGGAAGGGCCAUCGCUCAACGGAUAAAAGGUACUCCGGGGAUAACAGGCUGAUACCGCCCAAGAGUUCAUAUCGACGGCGGUGUUUGGCACCUCGAUGUCGGCUCAUCACAUCCUGGGGCUGAAGUCGGUCCCAAGGGUAUGGCUGUUCGCCAUUUAAAGUGGUACGCGAGCUGGGUUUAGAACGUCGUGAGACAGUUCGGUCCCUAUCUGCCGUGGGCGUUGGAAAAUUGAAAGGGGCUGCUCCUAGUACGAGAGGACCGGAGUGGACGAACCUCUGGUGUUCGGGUUGUCACGCCAGUGGCAUUGCCCGGUAGCUAAGUUCGGAAUCGAUAAGCGCUGAAAGCAUCUAAGCGCGAAGCGAGCCUUGAGAUGAGUUUUCCCUGGCACUUUAAGUGCCCUAAAGGGUUGUUCGAGACUAGAACGUUGAUAGGCAGGGUGUGUAAGCGCUGUGAGGCGUUGAGCUAACCUGUACUAAUUGCCCGUGAGGCUUAACCAUACAACACCCAAGGGGUUUUGUA
rnacentral:rRNA from 1 species